GUGGGGAAUUUUGGACAAUGGGCGAAAGCCUGAUCCAGCAAUGCCGCGUGUGUGAAGAAGGCCUUCGGGUUGUAAAGCACUUUAAGCGAGGAGGAGGCUACCGAGAUUAAUACUCUUGGAUAGUGGACGUUACUCGCAGAAUAAGCACCGGCUAACUCUGUGCCAGCAGCCGAGGUAAUACAGAGGGUGCAAGCGUUAAUCGGAUUUACUGGGCGUAAUGCGCGCGUAGGUGGCCAAUUAAGUCAAAUGUGAAAUCCCCGAGCUUAACUUGGGAAUUGCAUUCGAUGCUGGUUGGCUAGAGUAUGGGAGAGGAUGGUAGAAUUCCAGGUGUAGCGGUGAAAUGCGUAGAGAUCUGGAGGAAUACCGAUGGCGAAGGCAGCCAUCUGGCCUAAUACUGACACUGAGGUGCGAAAGCAUGGGGAGCAAACAGGAUUAGAAACCCUUGUAGUCC
rnacentral:rRNA from 1 species